rnacentral:lncRNA from 1 species
UCUGGCUGUGUGGCCUCAAGCAAGUCAUUUACCCUUUCUGAAUUUCUGUUUCCUUAUCCAUAAGAAUGAAAACAACCAUCACCAAAAAUGUGUGAGAGCUUAAUUGGUAAGUGAUGUUGUUAAACAAAUGUUCUUUGGAUCCGAACUGGAGGAAAAUCAACCUCAGGAGACAAAAUGGUAUUGUCUUUGAAGAUAUCCACAUAUAAAGGACUCUUCACCCCACUGACAGCCCUGAAGAUGAGGAACAUAAAUCUGCCCAUGGAGUCUCCAUCUGACCUCCUCAAAGGUUCCCACUGUUGUCAGGAUAUCACCUGGACCUCCACAGGUGGUAUGGUCUGGGCCUACCUUUCCAGCCAUGUUUCCCACCUCUCCCCACACUUCAAGUUGGAAACCUUCAUCCUUCAAAUGAGUCAACCAGUUUUCUACCCUCCCUCAUGUUUUGCCUGCCUCUGUCUCUGCACAUACCAUUUCUUUUCCCUAGAGCAGCGCUAUCCAAUAGAAAUACAACUAAAACAAGGCACAAAUAGGAGAGUCACAUAUGUGAUUUUAAAUUUUGUGGAGCAAAAUUUUAUGGCUCAGUCCAUUAAACAUCUGACUCUUGAUUUCAGCUCAGGUCAUGAUGUCUGCAUCCUAAGAUCGAGCCCGACAUCAGGUUCUGCAUUGAGCAUGAAGCCUGCUUAAGAUCCUCCCCUUCUCCCCCCUCC